UACGUAGGGGGCAAGCGUUGUUCGGAAUUACUGGGCGUAAAGGGCGCGUGGGCGGCACGACAAGUCGGGAGUGAAAGCCCGGGGCUCAACCCCGGAAUGUCUCUCGAAACUGUCGAGCUAGAGUGCAGAAGAGGCAACUGGAAUUCCCAGUGUAGCGGUGAAAUGCGUAGAUAUUGGGAAGAACACCUGAGGCGAAGGCGGGUUGCUGGGCUGACACUGACGCUGAGGCGCGAAAGCCAGGGGAGCGAACGGG
rnacentral:rRNA from 1 species